GACGGGGCCCGCACAAGCGGUGGAGUAUGUGGUUUAAUUCGAUGCAACGCGAAGAACCUUACCUGGUCUUGACAUCCCGGAGACCCUUAGGAAACUAGGGGGUGCUUCCAUCUGGAAGAAUCUGGAGACAGGUGCUGCAUGGCUGUCGUCAGCUCGUAUCGUGAGAUGUUGGGUUAAGUCCCGCAACGAGCGCAACCCUUGCCUUUAGUUGCCAGCAGUUCGGCUGGGCACUCUAAAGGGACUGCCGGUGUUAAACCGGAGGAAGGUGGGGAUGACGUCAAGUCCUCAUGGCCUUUAUGACCAGGGCUACACACGUACUACAAUGGCCGAUACAAAGGGCAGCGACACUGCGAGGUGAAGCCAAUCCCGUAAAAUCGGUCUCAGUCCGGAUUGGAGUCUGCAACUCGACUCCAUGAAGUUGGAAUCGCUAGUAAUCGUGGAUCAGCAUGCCACGGUGAAUACGUUCCCGGGCCUU
rnacentral:rRNA from 1 species